UCCUAUUCCUCUUACAUUUUUACAUACAAUUUUUUACUGCAUUUUGCAUUAAUAUUGUCUUCUUCGUGGCCUUUAUAAGUUUUGGAAUAUUUCUUACCUGGAUACCCUAAUUUGCUUUUUGAUAUUUAUUGUUGUGCACUGCUUGUACACAUUGCCGGGAUUAAGUAUAGAGUACACCUUUUAUUGAGAGUAGAACAGAGAAAAUCACCUGCAGUACUUUUGCACGGGCUUUUGACCAUUAUCGAUCUACCCUGCCUGGUUACUGAUGACUGACCACAAACCUGUGUGAUUUAGUGUUCUCCACUGUUUAACAGUGUGUUAACAUAAUUGGUUCAAUUCCCGAUUACUGAUGGGUUUCUUCCAUAACCAAAAAAAGGAUCACUGCUGACUGUACCCAAGAAGUUAUUACAUUUGAAAAAUUUUCUUUACACACUUGCAACUGUUUUGAGAUCCAAUGUAUAUCUCAGUGGAGGCCACUUGCUAUCAUGUGCUGGAUGCUGCCUCUUCUUUUAAGCAGCAUGAUGUAAACUCUUUCGGUCUGGUUAGUAAGUGUAAUACCCAAGUAAAA